rnacentral:tRNA from 1 species
GGAGGAGUACCCAAGAGGCUGAAGGGGCUGGCUUGGAAAGCUAGUAGGUCGUUAGAUGCAGGGGUUCGAAUCCCCUCUCCUCCGCCA